GUACAGGGGAAGGCUGGAUCGGACCUGCCCGACGGCGGGGGACCGCCCCCAGCGCAUUUCCACCGCGGUGGUGCGUCGCUACCGGCUCCGGGAAGACUAGGACAGCCCGGUGGUGAGGGCGGGAUCGGACCUGCAUCCUUACAUAUUCUGAUAAUAAAAAUCUACCCAGCAGAUAUCCACAUAUUCUCUGAGGUCUACAGCAUCAACUUUCCCACAUGUAAUUUUAAAGUCGUUUUGUUCUCGUAGAGCUAGUCGCAAGCCGUCCAUGGUCUCUGGUGUUAUUUGUACCAUUAAGCCAUCUAAAAGCACUAUAAAUAUUAUUCACCAAAAAGGAAAAGGUAUUUGGUUGGCAAUGCAGCAGGGCUUCUGGAAGAAAAGGAAGCUAUCAACUUUACAGCUCCAACUCCUGUGAUCUUCUGAGAAGUCCCAGAAGUUGCUCCAUGAUUUUCCUUCUUUGAGUGUGAGAAAAACAGAUUUAGUAUCUAGAAGUGAUACUAACCAAAACACUGGCCAAACUUAUAAAUUAUAUGUUCCAAAAUGA